GACGAACGCUGGCGGCGUGCUUAACACAUGCAAGUCGAACGGAAAGGCCCUGCUUUUGUGGGGUGCUCGAGUGGCGAACGGGUGAGUAACACGUGAGUAACCUGCCCUUGACUUUGGGAUAACUUCAGGAAACUGGGGCUAAUACCGGAUAGGAGCUCCUGCUGCAUGGUGGGGGUUGGAAAGUUUUGGCGGUUGGGGAUGGACUCGCGGCUUAUCAGCUUGUUGGUGGGGUAGUGGCUUACCAAGGCUUUGACGGGUAGCCGGCCUGAGAGGGUGACCGGACACAUUGGGACUGGGAUACGGCCCAGACUCCUACGGGAGGCAGCAGUGGGGAAUAUUGCACAAUGGGCGGAAGCCUGAUGCAACAACGCCGCGUGCGGGAUGACGGCCUUCGGGUUGUAAACCGCUUUCGCCUGUGACGAAGAGUGAGUGACGGUAAUGGGUAAAGAAGCACCGGCUAACUACGUG
rnacentral:rRNA from 1 species